rnacentral:lncRNA from 1 species
UAAAAGUCAGGUCGGAUUAAGCCAUAGUACGGAAAAAACUGUGCUACCUGUGAGCCCCGUCCAAGGACGUUAAAAGAAGUCAGGCCAUCAAAAAUGCCACGGCUUGAGCAAACCGUGCAGCCUGUAGCUCCACCUGAGGAGGUGUAAAAAACCUGGGAGGCCACAAACCAUGGAAGCUGUACGAAUGGAGGAGUGGAAUAGAGGGGAGAGGAGAACCAUCCAUUACA